GCACUGGCUCGGGCAGCACACAUACCAAAGUUGGAAUGAUACAGAAACAAUUAGCAUGGCCUCUGCACAAGAAUGACAUGCAAAUUUGUGAAGCGGUCCAUAUUUAA
ensembl:snRNA U6 U6 spliceosomal RNA